AUUGGCUGGAAUUUUUUUCAUUGUGUUGGAACUCACUCAAAACCAUUUUUGAUUGGCUAACUCACUUGGAAACCACCGCGGAAACUAUCGACAAAAGUAUAAAAGGGUCUGUACCUCCCCCAACGGUCUUCUUUCGUUUGCCUUCACUAGAGUCUCAGUACUUGCAUCGGAGUUUACGAAGGAAUUAGUUAACAAAUUGCACUAGUUUUUACUCUUUAUGGCUCGUGCUCCUGUCUGUCGGAAGGAGGAUUGUUCUCCCUACGACAUUGGCUUAGUCUUCGACAAGAUCGCCAGCUAUUCGCCUCAGGACAAGUUGAAAUUCAUCGAAAAUGUAUGGAAACCAGAGCUCCAGUUACUGCAGUCCCCAAGGAUGAAAAAGGGGAGUUUUUAUUCAAAUUAUAUUGUCUAUAAUUUGUACAUAUCUUUUGUAUAUGACAUAUGAUAUUAAUAUUGGAUUUUUUUUUUCUUAUUAUCUUGAAAACUCCUGGACCAAGGACCAACCACAGGCUUGUCAUCUAUAAGUACCAUUUUUCCUUCUCCUGCUCAAAGACAGUAGGCAGCUAUAUUGGACAUAGACCAGUGGCACCGGUUUGGAUACCAGAAACUUUUUGUAGAGCAAGGUGUUCCAUGUACCACCUUCAACAAAAUAAAACUUUUUUUGCCUUUA